rnacentral:rRNA from 1 species
GAUAAACGCUGGCGGCGCACAUAAGACAUGCAAGUCGAACGGACUUAAACUCAUUCUUUUAGAUUGAGAGCGGUUAGUGGCGGACUGGUGAGUAAUACGUAAGCAACCUGCCUAUCAGAGGGGAACAACAGUUAGAAAUGACUGCUAAUACCGCAUAUGCCAUAGGAAUCACAUGGUUCCAGUGGGAAAGGAGCAAUCCGCUGAUAGAUGGGCUUACGGCUGAUUAGCUAGUUGGUGGGGUAACGGCCUACCAAGGCGACGAUCAGUAGCCGGACUGAGAGGUUCAACGGCCACAUUGGGACUGAGAUACGGCCCAGACUCCUACGGGAGGCAGCAGUCGGGAAUUUUGCGCAAUGGAGGAAACUCUGACGCAGUGACGCCGCGUGCAGGAAGAAGGUUUUCGGAUUGUAAACUGCUUUAGACAGGGAAGAAACAAGACAGUACCUGUAGAAUAAGCUCCGGCUAACUACGUG